rnacentral:rRNA from 1 species
UACGGGAGGAGCGAGCAUUAUUCGGAAUGAUUAGGCGUAAAGGGUUUGUAGGUUGUUUUUUAAGUUGAAAAAAAAAGAAUAAAGCUCAACUUUAUAAAUUUUUUCAAAAACUGAAAAAUCUGGAGUAUAAAAUAGAGGAUAAUGGAAUUUCUAUUGGAGUGAUAAAAUACUGUGAUAAUAGAAGGAAGGUCAAAAGCGAAGGCAAUUAGUCUGGGAUAUAUACUAGACACUGAGAAACGAAAGCUUGGGUAGACAAACGGG